rnacentral:rRNA from 1 species
GAUGAACGCUAGCGGCAGGCCUAACACAUGCAAGUCGAACGGUAACAGGGAAAAGCUUGCUUUUCCGCUGACGAGUGGCGCACGGGUGCGUAACGCGUAUACAAUCUACCUCUUACAGGGGGAUAGCCUUUAGAAAUGAAGAUUAAUACCCCAUGGCAUUAUAAACCGGCAUCGGUUUAUAAUUAAAGUUUCGGCGGUAGGAGAUGAGUAUGCGUUCUAUUAGCUAGUAGGUGUGGUAACGGCACACCUAGGCAACGAUAGAUAGGGGCCCUGAGAGGGGGAUCCCCCACACUGGUACUGAGACACGGACCAGACUCCUACGGGAGGCAGCAGUGAGGAAUAUUGGACAAUGGGCGGAAGCCUGAUCCAGCCAUGCCGCGUGCAGGAAGACUGCCCUAUGGGUUGUAAACUGCUUUUGUACAGGAAGAAACCUUUCCACGUGUGGAGAGCUGACGGUACUGUAAGAAUAAGCAUCGGCUAACUCCGUG